rnacentral:rRNA from 1 species
UACGGGGGGAGCAAGCGUUGUUCGGAUUUACUGGGCGUAAAGGGCGCGUAGGCGGUCAGCACAAGUCAGUUGUGAAAUCUCCGGGCUUAACUCGGAAAGGUCAACUGAUACUGUGCGACUAGAGUGCGGAAGGGGCAACUGGAAUUCUCGGUGUAGCGGUGAAAUGCGUAGAUAUCGAGAGGAACACCUGCGGCGAAGGCGGGUUGCUGGGCCUGUGCUGACGCUGAGGAGCGAAAGCGUGGGGAGCGAACAGG